rnacentral:rRNA from 1 species
UGGGAAUAUUAGGCAAUGGACGAAAGUCUGACCUAGCGACGCCGCGUGAGGGAAGAAGGCCUUCGGGUCGUAAACCUCUGUCAUUGGGGACGAAGAAAGUGACGGUACCCAAGGAGGAAGCCCCUGCUAACUACGUGCCAGCAGCCGCGGUAAUACGUAGGGGGCGAGCGUUGUCCGGAGUUACUGGGCGUAAAGGGCGUGUAGGCGGCUUGUUAAGUCAGGUGUGAAAUUUCAGGGCUCAACUCUGAAACUGCGCUUGAAACUGGCAGGCUUGAGGACAGGAGAGGGAAGUGGAAUCCCCGGUGUAGCGGUGAAAUGCGUAGAUAUCGGGGGGAAUACCAGUGGCGAAGGCGGCUUCCUGGACUGUACCUGACGCUGAGGCGCGAAAGCUAGGGGAGCAAAC